rnacentral:lncRNA from 1 species
GGGAGAAACUAACUGAAGGGUUUUCAGAACAGUAUGAAUGGAGCUUUGCAAGACUUCGUGUCAGAAACAAGACUCCUGGAUGAGACAGGAAUAAAAGUAUGUUAUAGUUGAAAUAAGCCAAAAUCUAAAAUUGGGUAUUAAAAUAUAAUACAUUUUAAAUACACUGUGGUUACUUGAAUAUAGAAGUGUAGAAUUUUUGAGAAUUAUGAGUUUAAAUAUAUACAUUUCAGAAUUAUUAGUAUAAAUAAUAACAAAAAGCCACUAAACUAGGUGAGACCAGAGACUGUUACAAGUAGAAAAGAGAUGAUGCGAUUACAAGAUCGAAGUCUGGGAAUGCCAGUAUUUAGAGAUUGGCAUCAAAAUUAUAAGAAAAGAGAAAGAAAGGCCAUUUCCAGAGAUGUAAGUGGAUGAGUAAAAGUGUUGGGUGUCUCAGAAGCCAUUCAGAAUGCCAGUAAUAAAAUAAAAAUAUUAAGUAACCAUCUGUUUUAAAUUGUAAAGUAUAUAGACUGAGACACGUCUGUUGGAUUUGGUGAUGUGUUAACCAUAAAAGAUAUUGGAAAAGUAGUUUCAGACAAGGGAUGGGAAGUAAAUCAUGAAUAAAAAUUUUCAAGAAAGAAGUAAAAUCUGAUAAUGUCAGAAAGAAAGGGAAAGUUUACAGAAGGCUAUUCCAAGACUAAAAAUAGAAUAUGGAAUGCAGGACACAAGUGGAGGUUGGCAUUAGAUAAGAUAGACCACAAGCUUCAAUAAGAAGGGAGCAAACAGGGGCAGAUGCAGGUGUUAUUGGCACUGUGGUGUUGUGAGGUUGUAAGGACACAAAAGUUUGUUACUUUUUAUUUUUCCCCUAAUCACCAAAGAAGCAAGGUUAUCAGAGCAUGAGGAAAAGGGAAGAUUACAAGUUUGAAGAAAAGAGAAUAUGUGAAAAAGUACUCAAGUGAACAAGAGCAAAACGUAACUAGGACAAUGUAAUGGAAAACUACAGUAGGGCUGCAGGCUCACUCCACCUCUGUGAUCACAGGUUUGGCAUUUGACAGCCUAGUGGUAAAUACUUCUCCAGCCCUGUUUAUCUUCACAGAGGCACAUAAUUUGGUUUGGAUUUAACAAGUGUUGAGUUUGUGUGGGAGAAUAGGUACAACAGGUGUAGUUAGUAUAGGUGGGAAGAAGUAUUUUAAAGGAUAGAUAAUUUAAACGGUAGUAGAUUGUUGAAGAUGUGAGGAUGCUGAUUGACUACGUAAAGUGGACGAUUUCUGGCAGCUCUCCUGAGACUUGCUUUACGAUUUGGAAAACAUAAAGAUAAAUUCACAAAGAGAAGAACAAAGAAACAAGUAUUUUUUUUAUUGGUUCUUUCCUCUCUACUAGCACAAGAGCUCUAAGUGUGUUUUUGUUUUUUUUUUUUUUUUUUUUUUUUUUUUGUGUGUUGUAUUUUUAAUUUACUUAAUCUGUACCAUUCUAUAAGUAUUUUUAUUUCCAUUUCAUAGAUAAACUGAGUCAAAAAGAUAUUAUCCAAUUUAGCUUGCACAGCCAGCAGUUCCAGAGUCAAGUCUUAACACUAGCCUGUCAUGAUCCCAGAACCUAUUUUCUUAAAAUUCAUACUAUUCUUCCCACCCAGCAAAAUGGGGAACAUUGGAAUAGUCUCUCUUAAGUUGCUAGACCUACAAAGUAAGGCGUAUUGGUUAGACGGCAGUGUUUUAGAUGUGGGAGGUGCUAAUAGUGGAGUUCAGAUAAGCUCAUUCUUCCUGAUAUCUCCUAAAAUUGUAACUAGACAGAAAAUUUGGUGCAAGUCCAACUUUUCAAACUUGAAAUUACUCUCUUGUAAAAUAUGUUCAUAAUCUUUCUCUUUGUUGGCCAACACCCAUGGACUCAUUCUAUGUUGUGUGUAAAUGCAUUUUAAAUGCAUUUGUUUCAUAUUGAGCUCAGAGAUUUUGCAUUUCUUGGAAUGGAAGUAUAACAUUCUACAUUGUAAUAUGAACAGAAACUUUUUUUUUUUUUAGUUUGGCUUUUUCCAUCUAGUUGUCAUUAUAGUAGCUGAUAAAGAGAGCUUGAAUUACCAAUGUUCAAUUAUGAAAAACAUAGCUAGAGCCAAGUAUACCACUUAUCUGGACUUGAAAAGGUCCAAGAUCACUUUUAAAUAUAGAUCUUAUUUAAUAGCUCAGAAAAGAAAAAAAAGUUUUAUAGCAUACUCAUUGGUAUAGAUUGAAAGUUUGUGUCUAUGCAAAAUCCACAUUUUGAAAUACUAAUCUCUUAGUGUACCUAAUGUGAUAGUAUUAAGCAGUGGAACAUUUGGCUUGAUGACUAGAUCAUGAGGACGGAAUCCUCAUGAGUGAGGUUGGGGACCUUAUAAAAGAGACCCCGGGAGCUCUCUUGCCCCUUCUGCCAUGUGAGGACGCAGAGAGAUGAUGCUCGACUACGAACUAGAAAGUAGGUUUUCACCAGCCACCAAAUCUGCCAGAAUCUUGAUCUUGGCUUUCUCACACCCUAGAACUGUUGGAAAUACAUUUAUAUUGUUUAUAAACCACCCAGUCCAUGGUAAUUUGUUGUGGAAGCCCAAGCUGACUAAGAUACCCAUUAAUUAUCUGAGGUUUAUAUUAUAAUUAAAACAAAUGCCCUUUCUUGAACUGCCCUGAAAACAUUCCAGAAUCUCCCUAAAAUGAAAUUCUUGAGUCAUAAAGUAUUGUGAAAAUUUUUUUGUCCUGUUUUGAUGAUUUUCUUAAGUGUGUAUUAAGGCUUCUACUUCUUGCUUCUCCAUGAAAUUGAUGAAUAUUAUUUAAGAACUUUGACAUUAGAUAGACAUUAUUGUUGUAAGUUAAUUAUCUCUGUAACGUCAGAAAUUUAUCAUUCAAAUAUUUAUGUAUAAGUUGGUCUACGAGGCAUGGAAAUAAAAGUAAGAAUCAAGUUUUUUUCUCAUUGAUUUUUUAUUUUUAUUUUUAUUUUUUAUUUUCCCACUGUACAGCAAGGGGGUCAGGUUAUCCUUACAUGUAUACAUUACAAUUACAUUUUUCCCCCCACCCUUUCUUCUGUUGCAACAUGAGUAUCUAGACAUAGUUCUCAUUGAUUUUUUAAAUUUAUUUUUUAAUUUUUUAUUAUAGUUGAUUUAUUUUUAUAUCAUAAAAAAGAGAUAAAUAGCUUAGGUUUUUUUCCUCAAACAAAUUUCCUCUUUAAGCCUCAAUGGUAAUUUUUAUGAUUAAAUAAAAUAGCGCAUUUAAAAUAAAAGUCAUAUUUUAUGCUAUUUAAUAAAUGCUAAUUCCCAUCUAUUGCCAGAUUUUACCCCUAAUAAAAUUUAAUCAUUAGAACCACAUUUCCAACAACUAAUGUUUCUCAGUCCGCCUUACAUACAUACAUAUUUACAUUCAUACUUAAAUUUAAAAAUCUGAAAUCUGUGUUUACAAUCUAAUGAGAAUUAUUGUGGGCACUCUGCUAUUUGUGCACUCCUCCCCUUUGCACCAUGUCAUACAUACAUGUUGAGUGUGCACCAAACAAGGUGGGGCAGUAAACAGCAUUAGCAGGGACAACGACAUGGGUUUUAAGUCACCUUGUUCAGUAGAUUUCCACUUUUCAGGUUCCAGAACUCAGCUGUGAAAGGUCAGAAAUUUGAUUUUUUUACUUCACACUAAGAGGAAAUCAGUCUUUCAUGUUUGAGUUCAUGUUAACUUCUUAAAAAUGUUAUAGAUCAGUGUUCUAAUUAUUAAUUUAUGGUCAAAUGGACCAGAAUAUACUUGUGAUCUCUGUAGUCAUUGGGUGUAUGGAAAACCACAUGAAAGCUGUUGAUUUCUUUGCUAAUCCUACUAGGCUAUAAUUUUCAUUACAGGAUUGUUCAUUUACUAUUUAUCUUUUUAUUCUUAGCAACUAGUAUAGUACUCAGAAAACAUGCAAGCAUUGAUGAAUGAGUGGAUAAAAGAGUUUAGAUAGUGUUAUCUUCAAACAUAACUUAUAAUUAAAAGAAAUCUAACUUCCCAGGGCACAAUAUAUGUGUACGUUCAAUGUAAAUAUACUGCGUGGAAAGGAAAAAUCUCAUAUUCCAUGACUGAAAAUGUCAUAGGCUGUAAAGUCAUUGUCAUGAGAGACCUGCCUUCUUUACAUCAAACUCUGUAAUUUACAGCUUUUCUAAUAUGUAGGGUUUAUUUUUAAAUAACAUCAAUGACAAUCGAGUUAGAGGCUAUAACUAUAAAUUCACAAUGACAUCCAAAUUUGAAAAGAUAAGAUGCUAGAAUAUCGCAUGGAUAAAAAAAUAACAGUAUCUGUCUGUAGAACCAAAUAUAUCACAGAACUUUCUAAAUAGCAUGUGUUUUCUUUUUGAUAAGGAAUAGGACCUUUCUCAUAAUUUUUAUUUAGAUAAAUAAGCUAAGAAACUUCUGAAAUAAAUUACCAACACCUUGGAAAGAGAAUGCACAAAUACUCCCAUGAGUAUGAUGUAUCACAUAACCAGAAAAACAGUGCUUGCAGGUGUAAAACAAAUAAGAUUGCUUUCUUUUCCUAUUCUUCCUUAAGUAUUAGAUUCAGACAGCUCUAAAUUCACAGACACAGAAAGAAGAAAUCAAAAGAAAUAUGGUAGAUUCAUAAAAUUCAUAAAUUAUACAUAAUAGUUUUCCUACCAUACUCAGUAAUAUGAAUCUCAUUCUAGCUGAAAUUCAUGGUUAUUAAUUUACCUUCAGCACACCCUAGCAAUGAACAUAACUUUUCUUCUACACCAGGAAAAUUGGGUAAGCUAAUUGCUAUUUUUGUUUCUAAGUCACUGUUUAUUUAGAAGAUAAGUUAUUUGAAGAAUCUGCUUUUAAAAAGCAGUUUCAUCUGGAAAGCUAAGAGGAUUACACUCUAUCUUUUAUAUUGCAAUGAACACAAAACAGUCAAACAUUAGUCUUGAAGCUGAGCCAGAUAGGAGGUACUAUAACAUCCAGAAGUCCAUAGGAUCUGGGAUUCCUCCCUGGUCUCAACAAUUGUCUACAUGUGAGUCCUGGGGAAAGUAACUUUACUAUACUUUACUAUGAAGUAUUGAAAAUUUAAUACUUGGUAAAUGAGAAUAUUAUUUAUUUAAACUAUGAUCAUAUAAGAUAACCUGUGAAAAUACUAUCCAAAAUGCAACACAUUAUACAAUCUCCCAUUGUAAUUAUAAAAGCUAUAAUCCAACUAUCUAGUUACUAUGAAAAGUGAUUUAGCAGUCCUCAAAUGCAGUGUGCCUACACAAAUUCAGUCUUCCAACAAUAUUUAAAAAUCCCCUACAGGUGUCAAGCAAUUGUCAACAUACUAGUAUUUGGUCAAAUUCUCUGCCUUUGUGAAGCCUAUGUUUAGGAGGGGAAAUGGUCAAAUAUAAGAAAGAAAUACAUAAUUUCAGAAUCAGUAUAUAGCAAGGAAGAGCAUGAAUUAGCAAGAAGGGGAAGAACUAUCUGAAUCUUUGACAUUUCAUCAAAGUCCUGAAUGAAGUCAGGAUAUUCUACACAAAAGGAACAUCAUUUCAAAGGCCCAAGGAAGAAAUAAUCUUGUCAUAUUUCAAGGACCAUGAAAAGGCCAUAGUGUAGGACCUUCUAGGUCAACGUUGAGUGUUUAGAUUUUAUGUGAGUACUUUCAAAGCAAUGGGAGAAUUUUGAAAAAGAUGGUGUAUUUUGUGUUCGAAAUGAUCAUGCCGGCUACCUAAAAAAGGCUUAAUGGAAGCAAAACAGGAAGCAGGGUGGCUUGGAGGCUUCUCAAUUAGGUAGAUGAUGAAUGAUGCCACCAGAACCGGGUUAUGGUGACAGAAGUGGUGCACUGUUAGUUUCACUGGGCCAUGGCAUGUGGGUGUAGGGUAAGCUGAGGAAUAAAGCAGGAGUCUGAUGCUUUUGACCGUUUGUGAAGGUGGUGGUGCCAUUCGCUGAAAUGAAUAAACUAAAGGGAGGAAUGGGUGUUGCCUUUUGCUUUGUUCCUUCUUUCAUGUGACAUGAAAAUCAAGGGUUCUGCUUUAAAUAUUUGAAAUUCUCAUUAGAUAUCUAAACUGAAAAAUAAGGUUGGCUAUAGUAUAAGCAAAUCUGGUACUCAGAUCUGUAACUUACAGAAUAAGCAAAUCUGAAUUGAGAAUUGGCGGUAUAAAUUUGAGAGUCAACAUCCAUUUAAUAUUCAAAGCCAAAGGACAGGAUGCUAUUUCUGUGCAAAGACAGAAGAGGUUCAAGAGCUGAACACAGGAACUUGCUAUCUAGAAAUUAUGAAGAAGAGGACCAAUAAUCUUUAACAGUUCUAAUCACUUACUUUCUAAAGCAUGAAGAGGGGUUUAUUGAAAGUUAACAUGGCACCUUCCCCUUGUGGCUCAGUGGAAAUGAAUCCGAUUCGUAACUAUGAGGUUGCAGGUUCGAUCUCUGGCCUCUCUCAGUGGGUUAAGGAUACAGCAUUGCUGGGAGCUGUGGUGUAAAUCACAGACACAGCUCAGAUCCUGCUCUGCCAUGGUUGUGGUGUAGGCCAGCAGCCACAGCUCAGAUUCGACCCGUAGCCUGGGAACCUCCGUAUGCCAUGGGUGUGGCCCUAAAAAGGAAAAAAAAAAAAAAA